rnacentral:sRNA from 1 species
CUCCCGGACACUGCUCGUGGUACUCGAUCACAUCUUGGUUUGGACAGACCACAUUGUGGCCAGUGGCUGCCAUAUUGGACAGCACUGGUGUAAGAGGGUCCAUCUCUCACUCCCACAUCAAUGUCCAAUGGUUUCUCAUUCAACUGGAAAGUGAAAUUGGAAAUCUUGCAAAAGAUGAAGAAUUAUGAAUGUGAGACACCCAGAGGGAAGAUGAUGUGAAGACACAGAGAGAAGACAGCCAUCAGCAAGCCAAGGAGAGAAGUCUGGAAUGGAUCCUCCCUUCACAGCCCUCAGAAGGAACCAAGCCAGCCAGCCUCCCGAUCUCACACUUUUAGCCUCCAGAUCUGUGAGACAAUAAGUUUAUGUUGUUUAAGCCCUCCAGUCUGUGGUACUUUGUAAUGUAGCCCCAGCAAACUAAAACAUGGGUUGGCUGGUGGCAUUAGAACAAUUUGCCCAUGAAAA